AACGAACGCUGGCGGCAUGCCUAACACAUGCAAGUCGAACGAGACCUUCGGGUCUAGUGGCGCACGGGUGCGUAACGCGUGGGAAUCUGCCCUUGGGUUCGGAAUAACAGUUAGAAAUGACUGCUAAUACCGGAUGAUGUCUUCGGACCAAAGAUUUAUCGCCCAGGGAUGAGCCCGCGUCGGAUUAGCUAGUUGGUAGGGUAAAAGCCUACCAAGGCGACGAUCCGUAGCUGGUCUGAGAGGAUGAUCAGCCACACUGGGACUGAGACACGGCCCAGACCCCUACGGGAGGCAGCAGUGGGGAAUAUUGGACAAUGGGCGAAAGCCUGAUCCAGCAAUGCCGCGUGAGUGAUGAAGGCCUUAGGGUUGUAAAGCUCUUUUACCCGGGAUGAUAAUGACAGUACCGGGAGAAUAAGCCCCGGCUAACUCCGUGCCAGCAGCCGCAGUAACAC
rnacentral:rRNA from 1 species